rnacentral:rRNA from 1 species
UACGUAGGGGGCUAGCGUUGUCCGGAAUCAUUGGGCGUAAAGAGCUCGUAGGCGGCUUGGCAAGUCGGGUGUGAAACCUCCAGGCUCAACCUGGAGACGCCACUCGAUACUGCCAUGGCUAGAGUCCGGAAGAGGAGUGUGGAAUUCCCGGUGUAGCGGUGAAAUGCGCAGAUAUCGGGAAGAACACCCGUGGCGAAGGCGGCACUCUGGGACGGUACUGACGCUGAGACGCGAAAGCGUGGGGAGCGAACAGG